AAAGUACUCCCUCCAUCCCAAAAUUCUUGUCUUAGAUUUGUCUAGAUACGGAUGUAUCAAGUCACAUUUUAGUAUUAGAUACAUCUGUAUCUAGACAAAUCUAAGACAAGAAAUUUGGGACAGAGGGAGUAGUUG
rfam:Triticum aestivum genome assembly, contig: Triticum_aestivum_CS42_TGACv1_scaffold_249197_3DL